UUAAAAUUUGAAAACUCUGACUGGUAAACAUGAGAACAAUGAGAAGGGUAAAGAUGAGUAAUAAAUUCCAAAAAUUCUUUGUGCCCUCGUGCUUAUUGGGUGGAAUAUAUAUAGGGUAUCGUAUAAUAAAAUGGGACACAAACAACCUAGAGCAGAGGGUAGAAGCCAAAAUGCACGAGCUCAAGAGGGAACUUGAAAAAUCAAGUAAUU